rnacentral:lncRNA from 1 species
AUAUCGAUAACAUUUAUCAAAUAGAACAACUAAAUAUCAAAAUUUGAAACGAAAUCCUUAUUUAAUGAAGUUGACAAAUAAGAUAUUUAUCGAAGUCCUUUCUACUUAUGACUAGGGAGAAGUUUUGUCACCGGUGAGAUUGGAUUGAUAAGUGGUACCACCACUUCCUCCACCAAUGCCAAUACCAAAGCCAAUGCCCAUUCCAAAACCCACUCCUCCUCCAUUGCCUAUUCCGGUUCCUUUUCCCAUACCAUAUCCUUCUCCUUUGCCCAUACCAAAACCAGAACCUGAACCACUACC